rnacentral:rRNA from 1 species
ACCGGCUAACUCCGUGCCAGCAGCCGCGGUAAUACGGAGGGUGCGAGCGUUAAUCGGAAUUACUGGGCGUAAAGCGCAUGCAGGUGGUUUGUUAAGUCAGAUGUGAAAGCCCGGGGCUCAACCUCGGAAUUGCAUUUGAAACUGGCAGACUAGAGUACUGUAGAGGGGGGUAGAAUUUCAGGUGUAGCGGUGAAAUGCGUAGAGAUCUGAAGGAAUACCGGUGGCGAAGGCGGCCCCCUGGACAGAUACUGACACUCAGAUGCGAAAGCGUGGGGAGCAAACAGGAUUAGAUACCCUGGUAGUCCACGCCGUAAACGAUGUCUACUUGGAGGUUGUGGCCUUGAGCCGUGGCUUUCGGAGCUAACGCGUUAAGUAGACCGCCUGGGGAGUACGGUCGCAAGAUUAAAACUCAAAUGAAUUGACGGGGGCCCGCACAAGCGGUGGAGCAUGUGGUUUAAUUCGAUGCAACGCGAAGAACCUUACCUACUCUUGACAUCCAGAGAACUUUCCAGAGAUGGAUUGGUGCCUUCGGGAACUCUGAGACAGGUGCUGCAUGGCUGUCGUCAGCUCGUGUUGUGAAAUGUUGGGUUAAGUCCCGCAACGAGCGCAACCCUUAUCCUUGUUUGCCAGCGAGUAAUGUCGGGAACUCCAGGGAGACUGCCGGUGAUAAACCGGAGGAAGGUGGGGACGACGUCAAGUC